rnacentral:rRNA from 1 species
CUACGGGAUGCUCCAGUGGGGAAUAUUGCACAAUGGGCGCAAGCCUGAUGCAGCCAUGCCGCGUGUAUGAAGAAGGCCUUCGGGUUGUAAAGUACUUUCAGCGGGGAGGAAGGGAGUAAAGUUAAUACCUUUGCUCAUUGACGUUACCCGCAGAAGAAGCACCGGCUAACUCCGUGCCAGCAGCCGCGGUAAUACGGAGGGUGCAAGCGGUAAUCGGAAUUACUGGGCGUAAAGCGCACGCAGGCGGUUUGUGAAGUCAGAUGUGAAAUCCCCGGGCUCAACCUGGGAACUGCAUCUGAUACUGGCAAGCUUGAGUCUCGUAGAGGGGGGUAGAAUUCCAGGUGUAGCGGUGAUAUGCGUAGAGAUCUGGAGGAAUACCGGUGGCGAAGGCGGCCCCCUGGACGAAGACUGACGCUCAGGUGCGAAAGCGUGGGGAGCAAACAGGAUUAGAUACCCCUGUAGUC